AAAUUUGUGAUUUUCGCUUAAAUGGGGGAUUCUCAAAGAGAAAACGCUUGAUUUUCACCUAAAUUGACGAUUCUCAAAGAGAAAACGCGAGAUUUUUGCUUAAAUGGGGGAUUUGAGAAGAGAAAACUGGUGAUUUUCGCUUAAAUAUGGGAUUUGUGUAGAGAAAACACGUGAUUUUUGCUUAA
rnacentral:lncRNA from 7 species